GUAGAUUUACUGUUGGUGAGGCAGCACCAGGACAGGAGAGCUGCUAGCUUAUGUUUUCAUCACAGACAGGAAGGAAGGAGGAAAUUGAACUAGUGUUGUCAUUUCUCUCAGACGGUGCCCUCCACCUUGACCAGGCCACCAAGGUCCACAACCCUUUGUCUUCAGUGAUGAUGAUGAUGGUGAUGAUCCUGGGCGCCAUGUUGCACUGCAACUCUGCCAACAAUGGCUCGGACACUGUCUCCAUCACUUCCUCCCCUUCCUCAAAGGGCAGACCCAACAUGAUGAUAGAGGUUUGCUUCAAUACAACACUGGAUAUUCCUGCAUUACUGUUCUCACCAUCUGGAUCUGUGGAACAUGUGGGUAUUUGAGGUUGUGCAGUACACUUAGGAGGCCUUCUCCUGGAUGAAAGAUCUCAUAACUCACUGAACUGGCUUAUUUGAUGACUGAGAAUGGCCUUUGUCAUGUGGCAAGGAGUUCUUGCUAGAGGCUGCAUUUUGUCUUGCCAGAUCUGCAGUAAAGUGAAAGAGGAAAAAGACGCUUUUCUUAGUUUUGACUGUGGUCCCAGGAGAUAUUGUCAUUGGGCUUUCUGAGCAUAUUGCUGAACUGCUGUGGCCUUGGGACCAAAUGCUUGCCCCCCUUGGUCCCACGCAUUUGUUGUAAGGCCACAAAACCCUAAAAAAUGGUUUGCUGUGGCAGCCCCUGGGCAGUAGAAUAAGCCUCCUUACGGCACUCAGGAGAAUCAGUUGAAACAUUUAAAAAAAAUAGUAAUAAUUUAAUCAACCAUUUUGUGGCCUUUGAGUGUGAGCAAUGGUUUCUUGUUUUUUCAUGUGAUGUGUUUUUCUUGUUUCUUGUUCUCUUGUUUCUUGUGGAGCAUUUUAACAUAAAUGUU